rnacentral:sRNA from 1 species
CGGUACGAAAGCCGGUUUCGGCGCGCGG